GCACCUAUAGCUUAAUUGGAUAAAGCACUUGACUUCGGAUCAAGAGAGUAUGGGUUCAAGUCCUAUUGGGUGUG
rfam:Mycoplasma wenyonii str. Massachusetts, complete genome.